GAGUUUGAUCCUGGCUCAGGACGAACGCUGGCGGCGUGCCUAAUACAUGCAAGUAGAACGCUGAAGGAGGAGCUUGCUUCUUUGGAUGAGUUGCGAACGGGUGAGUAACGCGUAGGUAACCUGCCUGGUAGCGGGGGAUAACUAUUGGAAACGAUAGCUAAUACCGCAUAAGAGUAGAUGUUGCAUGACAUUUGCUUAAAAGGUGCACUUGCAUCACUACCAGAUGGACCUGCGUUGUAUUAGCUAGUUGGUGGGGUAACGGCUCACCAAGGCGACGAUACAUAGCCGACCUGAGAGGGUGAUCGGCCACACUGGGACUGAGGACAGGCCCAGACGUCCUACGGGAGGCAGCAGUAGGGAAUCUUCGGCAAUGGACGGAAGUCUGACCGAGCAACGCCGCGUGAGUGAAGAAGGUUUUCGGAUCGUAAAGCUCUGUUGUAAGAGAAGAACGAGUGUGAGAGUGGAAAGUUCACACUGUGACGGUAUCUUACCAGAAAGGGACGGCUAACUACGUGCCAGCAGCCGCGGUAAUACGUAGGUCCCGAGCGUUGUCCGGAUUUAUUGGGCGUAAAGCGAGCGCAGGCGGUUAGAUAAGUCUGAAGUUAAAGGCUGUGGCUUAACCAUAGUAGGCUUUGGAAACUGUUUAACUUGAGUGCAAGAGGGGAGAGUGGAAUUCCAUGUGUAGCGGUGAAAUGCGUAGAUAUAUGGAGGAACACCGGUGGCGAAAGCGGCUCUCUGGCUUGUAACUGACGCUGAGGCUCGAAAGCGUGGGGAGCAAACAGGAUUAGAUACCCUGGUAGUCCACGCUGUAAACGAUGAGUGCUAGGUGUUAGACCCUUUCGGGGUUAGUGCCGUAGCUAACGCAUUAAGCACUCCGCCUGGGGAGUACGACCGCAAGGUUGAAACUCAAAGGAAUUGACGGGGGCCCGCACAAGCGGUGGAGCAUGUGGUUUAAUUCGAAGCAACGCGAAGAACCUUACCAGGUCUUGACAUCCCUCUGACCGCUCUAGAGAUAGAGUUUUCCUUCGGGACAGAGGUGACAGGUGGUGCAUGGUUGUCGUCAGCUCGUGUCGUGAGAUGUUGGGUUAAGUCCCGCAACGAGCGCAACCCCUAUUGUUAGUUGCCAUCAUUUAGUUGGGCACUCUAGCGAGACUGCCGGUAAUAAACCGGAGGUAGGUGGGAUGACGUCAAAUCAUCAUGCCCCUUAUGACCUGGGCUACACACGUGCUACAAUGGCUGGUACAACGAGUCGCAAGCCGGUGACGGCAAGCUAAUCUCUUAAAGCCAGUCUCAGUUCGGAUUGUAGGCUGCAACUCGCCUACAUGAAGUCGGAAUCGCUAGUAAUCGCGGAUCAGCACGCCGCGGUGAAUACGUUCCCGGGCCUUGUACACACCGCCCGUCACACCACGAGAGUUUGUAACACCCGAAGUCGGUGAGGUAACCGUAAGGAGCCAGCCGCCUAAGGUGGGAUAGAUGAUUGGGGUGAAGUCGUAACAAGGUAGCCGUAUCGGAAGGUGCGGCUGGAUCACC
rnacentral:rRNA from 1 species